CCUACGGGUGGCAGCAGUGCGGAAUAUUGGUCAAUGGGCGCAAGCCUGAACCAGCCAAGUAGCGUGAAGGAUGACUGCCCUACGGGUUGUAAACUUCUUUUAUCAAGGAAUAAAGUGAUGCACGUGUGCCUUUUUGUAUGUACUUUAUGAAUAAGGAUCGGCUAACUCCGUGCCAGCAGCCGCGGUAAUACGGAGGAUCCGAGCUUUAUCCGGAUUUCUUGGGUUUAAAGGGAGCGUAGAUGGGUUGUUAAGUCAGGUGUGAAAGUUUGGGGCUCAACCGGAAAAUUGCAAUGGAGACUGGCAGUCUUGAGUACAGGUGAGGUAGGCGGAAUUCGUGGUGUAGCGGUGAAAUGCUGAGAUAUCACGAAGAACUCCGAUUGCGAAGGCAGCUUACUAAACUGCCACUGACAUUGAUGCUCGAAAGCGUGGGUAGCAAACAGGAUUAGAUACCCGAGUAGUC
rnacentral:rRNA from 1 species